ACACUCCUGCGGGAGGCAGCAGUGGGGAAUUUUGGACAAUGGGCGAAAGCCUGAUCCAGCAAUGCCGCGUGAGUGAAGAAGGCCUUCGGGUUGUAAAGCUCUUUUGUCAGGGAAGAAACGGUGAGAGCUAAUAUCUCUUGCUAAUGACGGUACCUGAAGAAUAAGCACCGGCUAACUACGUGCCAGCAGCCGCGGUAAUACGUAGGGUGCAAGCGUUAAUCGGAAUUACUGGGCGUAAAGCGUGCGCAGGCGGUUUUGUAAGUCUGAUGUGAAAUCCCCGGGCUCAACCUGGGAAUUGCAUUGGAGACUGCAAGGCUAGAAUCUGGCAGAGGGGGGUAGAAUUCCACGUGUAGCAGUGAAAUGCGUAGAUAUGUGGAGGAACACCGAUGGCGAAGGCAGCCCCCUGGGUCAAGAUUGACGCUCAUGCACGAAAGCGUGGGGAGCAAACAGGAUUAGAUACCCUUGUAGUCCCA
rnacentral:rRNA from 1 species